rnacentral:rRNA from 1 species
GACGAACGCUGGCGGCGUGCUUAACACAUGCAAGUCGAACGGAAAGGCCCCUUCGGGGGUACUCGAGUGGCGAACAGGUGAGUAACACGUGAGUAACCUGCCCUUGACUUCGGGAUAACUUCAGGAAACUGGGGCUAAUACCGGAUAGGAAUCCUUGCUGCAUGGUGGGGGUUGGAAAGCUUCGGCGGUUUUGGAUGGACUCGCGGCUUAUCAGCUUGUUGGUGGGGUAGUGGCUUACCAAGGCUUUGACGGGUAGCCGGCCUGAGAGGGCGACCGGCCACAUUGGGACUGAGAUACGGCCCAGACUCCUACGGGAGGCAGCAGUGGGGAAUAUUGCACAAUGGGCGGAAGCCUGAUGCAGCAACGCCGCGUGCGGGAUGACGGCCUUCGGGUUGUAAACCGCUUUCAGCAGGGGCGAAGCUUGUGGUGACGGUACCUGCAGAAGAAGCACCGGCUAACUACGUA